CUGCCCUCGAGUUUCCAUUUGGGGGUUCCGGAAUGGUACCUAACUCGGUACAAAAGCCUCUAAGCCGUGGGACCGUACAUCUCAACCCCGACGACCCUCAUGGCGAACCGAUCGUUACAUACAACGCCUUCACGAACCCUUUCGAUCGCGCUCAGCUCGCCUCCUUCAUUGCAUUCACCCGCCGCUACUUCAAAACAAAUGCCCUCGCUGAUAUGCAGCCCCAGGA
rnacentral:sRNA from 1 species